rnacentral:rRNA from 1 species
GACGAACGCUGGCGGCGUGCUUAACACAUGCAAGUCGAACGGAAAGGCCCUGCUUUUGUGGGGUGCUCGAGUGGCGAACGGGUGAGUAACACGUGAGUAACCUGCCCUUGACUUUGGGAUAACUUCAGGAAACUGGGGCUAAUACCGGAUAGGAGCUCCUGCUGCAUGGUGGGGAUUGGAAAGUUUCGGCGGUUGGGGAUGGACUCGCGGCUUAUCAGCUUGUUGGUGGGGUAGUGGCUUACCAAGGCUUUGACGGGUAGCCGGCCUGAGAGGGUGACCGGCCACAUUGGGACUGAGAUACGGCCCAGACUCCUACGGGAGGCAGCAGUGGGGAAUAUUGCACAAUGGGCGGAAGCCUGAUGCAGCAACGCCGCGUGCGGGAUGACGGCCUUCGGGUUGUAAACCGCUUUCGCCUGUGACGAAGCGUGAGUGACGGUAAUGGGUAAAGAGGCACCGGCUAACUACGUG